rnacentral:rRNA from 1 species
AACGAACGCUGGCGGCAGGCUUAACACAUGCAAGUCGAGCGCCCCGCCAGGGGAGCGGCAGACGGGUGAGUAACGCGUGGGAACGUACCUUUUGGUUCGGAACAACUCCGGGAAACUGGAGCUAAUACCGGAUAAGCCCUAACGGGGAAAGAUUUAUCGCCGAAAGAUCGGCCCGCGUCUGAUUAGCUAGUUGGUGAGGUAACGGCUCACCAAGGCGACGAUCAGUAGCUGGUCUGAGAGGAUGAUCAGCCACACUGGGACUGAGACACGGCCCAGACUCCUACGGGAGGAAGCAGUGGGGAAUAUUGGACAAAGGGCGCAAGCCUGAUCCAGCCAUGCCGCGUGAGUGAUGAAGGCCUUAGGGUUGUAAAGCUAUUUUGUCCGGGAAGAUAAUGACUGUACCGGAAGAAUAAGCCCCGGCUAACUUCGUG